ACUCCUACGGGAGGCAGCAGUGGGGAAUAUUGCGCAAUGGGCGGAAGCCUGACGCAGCGACGCCGCGUGGGGGAUGACGGCCUUCGGGUUGUAAACCUCUUUCGCCAGGGACGAAGCUUUUGUGACGGUACCUGGAGAAGAAGCACCGGCCAACUACGUGCCAGCAGCCGCGGUAACACGUAGGGUGCGAGCGUUGUCCGGAAUUAUUGGGCGUAAAGCGUGCGCAGGCGGUCUGUUAAGCGAGAUGUGAAAGCCCCGGGCUCAACCUGGGAACUGCAUUUCGAACUGGCAGACUAGAGUCUUGUAGAGGGGGUAGAAUUCCAGGUGUAGCGGUGAAAUGCGUAGAGAUCUGGAGGAAUACCGGUGGCGAAGGCGGCCCCCUGGACAAAGACUGACGCUCAGGCACGAAAGCGUGGGGAGCAAACAGGAUUAGAUACCCUGGUAGGCUCUGC
rnacentral:rRNA from 1 species